GAUGAACGCUAGCGGCAGGCUUAACACAUGCAAGUCGAGGGGUAGAGGCUUUCGGGCCUUGAGACCGGCGCACGGGUGCGUAACGCGUAUGCAAUCUGCCUUCCACAGAGGGAUAGCCCAGAGAAAUUUGGAUUAAUACCUCAUAGUAUUACAGGAUGGCAUCAUCCGGUAAUUAAAGUCACAACGGUGGAAGAUGAGCAUGCGUCCCAUUAGCUAGUUGGUAAGGUAACGGCUUACCAAGGCGACGAUGGGUAGGGGUCCUGAGAGGGAGAUCCCCCACACUGGUACUGAGACACGGACCAGACUCCUACGGGAGGCAGCAGUGAGGAAUAUUGGUCAAUGGGCGCAAGCCUGAACCAGCCAUGCCGCGUGCAGGAUGACGGUCCUAUGGAUUGUAAACUGCUUUUGUACGGGAAGAAACACUGAUUCGUGAAUCAGCCUGACGGUACCGUAAGAAUAAGGAUCGGCUAACUCCGUGCCAGCCGCCGCCGUAACAC
rnacentral:rRNA from 1 species